CCCCCCCCCCGCUGUCGCCAGCCGCGUCCUGCUAACAAAUCAAUGUGCCUGCCCCUCGAUCUCAGAUCGCGCAGCGCUGCCCUCGCCUAUCCUGCGGACCCAGCGAGCCCUGCUGGCCGGACCGCUCCCUCAGCACUGAAGCCCACGCGGACCGGGGAGAGGCCGGCUAUGGCCGCCUGAGCCCUCCAGCGACUGGGACCCUGCGGGGACGUCGCCCGCCCCAUCAGUCCCGGAUUGUCCCCGAAGCCCGGAGCCACCUGCCCCUAACCUAACCCGCGAUGUCCACCCCCGCCAGGACCAGGCCUCGAGCGUCGCCAACCCCACCCGUCCAUGUCUGGCCUGGGUGUGUUCAAGGCAUGCUCGACCAUGGGGCAGAGCCCGGAGGAUGGCUAGUUUUGGGGUGCACGGCGGGGGUGGUGCUUCGGCUUCCAAUAACACCCCCCCCCCGUGCCUGGCCCUCUCGCACUUCCUGUUCACGACUGUUCGCGUUGUGCGCAGCGGACACCCGACGAGGAAGGAUGACCCCGCUCCAGGUCACAACGCCCGCUCCCCGGAAUCCAAGAUUUAGUUAAAACACCGAUGAUCAACUCGUCUGGGAGCGGGUUCCCGCUGCCAGGGAUGGGACGGGAUGGAUUGGGAGGAAGGGAGGGGAAAGAGAAAGAUAGGGAGGAAGAGAAGACCCGAGCCAAGGAGUUUGGCGGCUAGGGCGGGAGGCCCAGAGCGGAAAGCUGGCCUCCCGGCCGCAGCGAGGUGCCGGCGGGCGCGGAGCGG
rnacentral:lncRNA from 1 species